rnacentral:rRNA from 1 species
CACAAGCGGUGGAGUAUGUGGUUUAAUUCGAUGAUACGCGAGGAACCUUACCAGGGCUUGACAUAGACACGACGGUUGUAGAGAUACAGCUUCUCUUCGGAGCGUGUUUACAGGUGCUGCAUGGCUGUCGUCAGCUCGUGCUGUGAAGUGUUGGGUUAAGUCCCGCAACGAGCGCAACCCUUGUCCUUAGUUGCCAGCAUUAAGUUGGGCACUCUAAGGGGACUGCCGGUGUUAAACCGGAGGAAGGUGGGGAGUGACGUCAAGUCCUCCAUGGCCCUUAUGUCCAGGGCUACACACGUGCUACAAUGGCCGGUACAAAGGGCUGCAAUACCGCAAGGUGGAGCGAACCCCAAAAAGCCGGUCUCAGUUCGGAUUGGAGUCUGCAACUCGACUCCAUGAAGUUGGAAUCGCUAGUAAUCGCGGAUCAGCAUGCCGCCGGUGAAUACGUUCCCGGGCCUU